GUCAAUGGCCUAACGGCUGAACUGGCAACUUGGAGAAGUGGCAAGUCUUCCAGUAUGGGGAGCAAAACAGCUAUGGGUCAAGUCCGAUAUCUUUAGGAGAAGUCUUAUUGUGAGGGCGAGUUAUAUAACACCAUAGGACUGGCCGUCCCAUAUGAAAAGAUAUAUUAGAAUUGAAUGAAGCUUUGUUUAUAUAUUGAUAAUGACAGUAUAUAUAUCGUGUCUUGACUAAUUGCGUGCCAGCAGUCGCGGUAAUACGUAAGAGACUAGUGUUAUUCAUCUUAAUUAGGUUUAAAGGGUACCCAGACGGUCAAUAUAGCUUAUAAAAUGUGAGUACUUGACUAGAGUUUUAUGUAAGAGGGCAGUACUUGAGGAGGAGAGAUGAAAUUUCGUGAUACCAAAGGGACUCUGUAAAGGCGAAGGCAGCCCUCUAUGUAAAAACUGACGUUGAAGGACGAAGGCACAGAGAACAAACAGGAUUAGAUACCCAAGUAGUCUUUGCAGUAAAUGAUGAAUGCCAUAGGUUAGAUUAAUCAAACAUAGUCUAGGGUUAGUCUAGCAAACUAAUGACAUACUACAAUAAAAAUAUCUGGUCUAUAAAUGAAAGUGUAAGCAUUUCACCUCAAGAGUAAUGUGGCAACGCAGGAACUGAAAUCACUAGACCGUUUCUGACACCAGU
rnacentral:rRNA from 1 species